AUUGAGCGCUGGCGGCAUGCCUUACACAUGCAAGUCGAACGGCAGCACGGGUGCUUGCACCUGGUGGCGAGUGGCGAACGGGUGAGUAAUACAUCGGAACGUACCUUAUCGUGGGGGAUAACGCAGCGAAAGCUGUGCUAAUACCGCAUACGCCCUGAGGGGGAAAGCGGGGGACCGAAAGACCUCGCGCGAUUAGAGCGGCCGAUGCCUGAUUAGCUUGUUGGUGGGGUAAAAGCCCACCAAGGCGACGAUCAGUAGCUGGUCUGAGAGGACGAUCGGCCACACAGGGACUGAGAAACGGGCAAGACUCCUACGGGAGGCAGCAGUGGGGAAUUUUGGACAAUGGGGGCAACCCUGAUCCAGCAAUGCCGCGUGAGUGAAGAAGGCCUUCGGGUUGUAAAGCUCUUUUGUCAGGGAAGAAACACCGGCUCUAACACAGUCCGGGAAUGACGGUACCUGAAGAAUAAGCACCGGCUAACUACGUGCCAGCCGCCGCCGUAA
rnacentral:rRNA from 1 species